GAUCACGUCACGCGCAGUCUUUGCUGGUUAGGUUGUCUCGCGUUGAGGGCUUUGCCGACGCAACACGCACCCAAAAAUCCUAAUCCUCAUCGCCGCCGGCGACCAUGGUGUCGCAGCACGGCAUCCUCCUCGCCGCGGGCCUCAUAUCCGACCACUUCGGCCCCCUCGUAGCGAAGGUGUGCGACUGCCUCCUCCGCCACGGGGCGCUGCAGCUGACGGAGAUUGUGCGCCGUCUCAAGCUCCCGCAGGGGCAAGUGAAGAACUCUCUCCUCGUCCUCAUCCAGCACAACUGCGUUCAGGCCUUCUCAUCGCCCAGAGGCGAUAGGACCAUCACGCUCUACUUGGCCAUCUUCGACAAUGUCCUGCAUCGGCUGCGCUUCUCAAAGUUCAUCUCUAUUAUCCGCGCGGACAUUCCAGAGUCAGAAGCUCUUAUUGAGGGAUUGCUUCAGAAUGGUAGGCUAACAUUUGACCAACUUGUGGGACGCACAAUCUCUAAAGUGCCAGAAGGCACCAUCCGACCAGCAAGGGAAGAAAUACGAAUGAACUUCAACAGACUUGUGUAUGCACGUUAUGUGGAACGUUGCCCAAAAGCUGAACCCUAUUUCAAUCCACAGGAAGAUGAACAAUCUACAGGUGCAAGGAGAAGAGUUCCAAAAACUGCCGAGGAGGUUCUUUCACUUGAGCAGAAAGUUGUCAAUACUGCAACCCUUUCUGAUCCAGAAAGGUUUUCUGAGAUCCCAUACAGCAUGGAGGAUGCAUCAAAAACGAAUGAUUGUCCUCAUAACGCUGUUGCGGGUGCUAAGCGGAAACACGGAGCCUUUGAGGUAGAUGAAGAGCUCAACUCAACAAUUGCAGAGAAUGAAGUACUUUGGCGGGUAAAUUUUGAGAAAUUUAUAUUCUGUCUAAAGAAGAAGUUUUGUGCAGACCGAAAGAAGCCAAAGCUGAAGGUUGGCACACAUCCUAUCUGGGAGUCAUUUUUUGAAGCUAACUUACCUGACAAAGAUACAAACUCUGUGACAUCAUCAAUAAAUGGUAUUUUGGAGAAACUAGGACAAAAGGAAGGAGGUGCGGCAAUGUCAAUUGGUGACAUAAAACCAGUCCUGCUGGAUUUACAGUGUACUACUUCCGAUGGGGAAGAAUUUACUUUUGAUUUACGCAAAAUGGUUGAAGCAUGUAGAAAUGAGGAGAUAGAGUCGCUUGUGAAAAAGAAAUACGGGCAAGAAGCUUUUACAAUCUUUAGGCUAUUGGUCACACAAGGUUGUGCAGUUGAGACAGAUCAAAUUAUUGACACAACAAUUCUGGACAAGCAGAUUGUUCAUUCAACUUUGUACAAACUAUGGAACGACGGCUACAUAGAUACAGAGUUGUGCGAUAACUUCACUGCUUUGAUGGUCUACUACUUUACUAUACAAGAAAAUCGCUUCCGCAGCAGGAACAGGGUACGCACAGUUUUUUGUAUGGAGAGCCAAAAAUACAUUUCGUGAGCAGUUCAUCGAUAAUCUCUACCAUGCUGCUUUGAACUUGCGCCAGAUGGUGAAUUACAUUGCUGAACUUCUACUCGAGGGUUCGAAGGACGAAACAAAGCUGCGGAACAGAAAGAACAUUUUGAUCCUGGCCCUCACUAGACAUGAUGACUCUCUCAUGCUGUUCCAUGAUUUUUGAGAACACAGGUGAGUCUACCGUGAAUGUAGAACGGAAUCCAGGCUGUGAAGUUGGACAACUGAAUUAAUAUAUCUUAGGCUCGUAGCUGAUUUCACCUAUGGGAAAUUCAUUUACGCUGCAUGUUUUGAGAUCUUUGCUAUCGCAUUUUGCCAUUGUUGUGUUUGGAAA